rnacentral:misc_RNA from 1 species
CGAGCAUGAUAUUCCAUCACCAAGUAAGCCAUCAAUCACAUCUUCUGUUUGGGCAAGGCACAUCAUAGAGUUUAACAUAUCGGACAGACUAGACACGGAAGAAAACUCAACACAAACACAUUUAUAAAAGUUUAUGUAAUAAACAGUUUCAUGCAAGUGUAAAUAUAGCUAAACACGAUAUCAUUUUAUCAAAACCACAACAAAAUAGACAUCGUUCUAACUUUGUACUCAGAAUUAAAUCCCUAAAUCAUCUGUAAUAUGUGGCGAAUGAUUCAGUGCUAAUCCAACAAGCAGACAGUGUUUCAACAUUGCUUUGACUUGGAUGAACAAAGCUACUUAACCAAGAACACAAGCACAUAAACCCCGCUCAACAGGACUAGUCAAUGACAGCAAUCAUAUAUGAAUCAAUAAGAAGAAAGGCAUUUCUCAUCCAACCACGCCAUCAUGCCUUGAUGGGCUCAUACCUUUCACCAAUUGCUCCACCUUUCUGUUUCUGGAACUGAAUGUACCGCAGUGUGCUGGCAAAGAAAGCAUCAGCACCAGGGUCUGGUGUAACAGAUUCACUUUGCAUCUCAGUCUUAAUCAAUUCAAUCAGGCUCUGGAUUACAGCAGCAGUUAUCUGCGGGUUUUCCUUCUCAAAGAAAUAAAGAUACUUGUUCAGAAUCUCAACAAAGAGCAUGGCCGAUCCAGUGCUACCUCGUGCCGCAUUGGACAUUUGUUGAGCAGCAUUUGCAAUUCUUAGAGCACGCUUUAGGCAAAUUAGAACCCUCUCUCCAUCUUUCAUGUUAUCUUGAUCAUCAACCCAAAAGAGAUGUGCACACCCAUAAACAGCUCUGCAUUGAUCAGGCUUCUUUAAAAGCUUAGCAGAAUACCCUGUGGCUUUGUGUGUCAACGUAUCUCUAUUCUCAACACCAAAGACAACCAUCCUCUGUAGAGUCCCUAUCAUUAAAUGUAGUGCAGUCACCUGUGCUUUGGAAUCUGAGACUUCUUCUUCAUACAGAAUAUAUGCUUGGGUGAAAAAUUCAUAUGCAACAGGUUCUAAAUCAGAGUCAUUAGCAGCCUGAUCAAUAAGCAACCCAAAAAAAAUAAUAAUAAAUAAAGAUACGAGAAGAAGGAUUGCCAAAUGGACCCUCAAGUAUUGAUAUGCUCAGUUUAUACCUCCGCACACUGUAAGUACAGCUGCAGUGCUAAUUCAGGUGCUGGAACAGUUGACAGUACCUCAAUCGUCUGAAACAGAAAGUUUUGAAUCACCAAAUAUACCAAGGACUAUUACCAUGCCUAUAUGCAAGACAGGCAGACAACGUAAAAUAAAAUGCACCUGAUUCAAAAGCUGAAAAAUUUUCUUUGGCGUAGUCAAUGACUCAUCUCCAAAAGGAUUUUCAUCUUGGCCUUCAUCUUGGCCUUGCAGUCGCCUAACCAACUGCUCACACAAACAACAUACUGACGAUAUGUUGUAAACCAGAAAUUGCACUGCUAAAAGAUGAAACAGCAUGCCACUAUAGCCUUCAGUCAAUAAAGCUUUAAUAAGGAUUAUCACAAACAGAGUUAUCGAUGCGGACAGAAAAGAUUGAGGAACUUGUUUUUCCUUGGGAGGGGAUUGGAGAUAACCUUAAUUGGCAGAUGUCAAAGGAAAUAUUUUUCAGUUAUUUUAUCAUGAAAAACAGCACGAUUCACAACAAGUAAUUGGCUAUUAUGCAUGCUGCCAAUGCAGAAGAUGAAGUGGUUGUCCCUAUUCUAGGACUUGCAACUGGAAUUUUAUCAUUUAAAACACAUUGGCAUUAGGCAGAGAAGCAAACCUUAAGAGAAGAAAAGACAAGAGGAGGAAUAGUGAAGGGUAAACGCUUUGGUCCCCCAGUCAUGAACUGCCUCCUUACUGUACAUAUGAUCUUGUACAUUUCCACUGGAUCAUCAUUAUGCAGCAUCUGAAUAAGACGUGCAACAGAAUUCUGCUCCUCAUUGAAAUCAUCUUCAUCAACCUAAAGGUGGAGAAACAAAAUACUUUACAUUGAAAAACACUAAUAGGUGUGAUGGCUGAGUUUCAAUAAGCAUACCAGAAGAAAGAAGAAAAAUAGUCAUUAAAUGCAACCAGCAUCAACAAACCACAGCAUGCAUUGAUGGAAAAUUCAAACAGGCUAUAAAGAUCCAUUUCUCAUGAUCAUGCAACAUAUUAUGUAACAGCAAAUAACCUCUUCAUGAUUUCCAUCCAAAUCCUUGAUAAGCCCUGUUAUUAAUUCAAAUAAUGCCUCAACCUUGUCGGCAGUAGAAAUUCGUGUGUUGUUUUUCAUAAUACUUUGAAUUAUGACAGUUGCCAUGAUUUUAUUCGUUUCAUUGUCAAGGUAUUCCAUGACAUGGUGGUAGUUUGAAAGCUUCAAUGCAGUGACAACAUCAUUAUAUUUCUCCAAUGGAGCACUUAAAAGUGCUACAAUUUGUUUCGUGGCUCUGCUGUCUUCAAGCUUUCCUUUGCUUGAUAAUUUCUUAACACAUGCUCCCAACACUUGAUCUGCAUAAUCCAGCCGAUCAGGGUGAACAUGGAGAGUAAAUGUAAGGAGAGAUGAAUAUAAGGUCACGGCUCCGAAGAUAGGCAUAUCAACCUGUGCUUCUAUGACCUGCAUUAAUGUGUAUUAUAUUUGCAGUUUUGAAUAAAUACACAUAAUUUAAUAAUAAAAAAGCAUUAUUAAUGAUAUGGCCCUUUACCACAAAAAUUGAAAACAAACAUAGGUCCUAAAUAAUGCAAGAAUUUCAAUAUUUAUCAUUAUUUAUUUAAUCUUACUGUCCCUAUGGCAUUGUUCAAUUUUGAAAAAGCUUCAACUUGCAAGAACUCAGGUAAAACUUCUGCACUUGAAGCUGCAUAAUUUGAGAGCCUCUCCAUCAACCUAGAGAGCACUGUCUUGACGUCAACAGAUGGCUGAAGCUGAGGGCAAGCACCCAACAAGACUUCAAGAGUUUGCAAGUGAUACUCAUCUGGAAAGACCUGAAUAACGCAAUCCAUCAAAUAAAACUGUGCAAGUUCAUCUUUACAAUUGACAACCUGUUCAAGGACUCUGGGAAGUACAGUAUCCUUGUACAUUUCAAGGUCAACACCUUCUAUCUGACUAAGGACAUGCAAAUUCUUCCCAACAAGAUCACGUAAUUCGCUCCUUUCUUUCUCCCGCUUCUCCUUUUCCCGGGCAGGUCCCUGAUGUUGCAUCCGCACCCACAGCUUGUUCAUCUCAGUGAAAUUUUGCAGUACAAACUCCACAGCAUCCAUGACUGUUUCAGCAUCCCCUUCAUACUCAGAGCCAAUGUCAGGUAAUUUAUCCCUACUGACUUGAGAAAGAUAACUCCUUAAGAAGAGCCCACGAACAGGAUGUUGAAUGCCACGACACAUUUCCACAAGAUCCUUUAGAACAUCCUUUGCAGGAGCUUCUUUAGAUUUUAUGUAUACAGACCCUACAGUACAGAGGAGAUACAAUCUUGGCAAUAUGUUACCAGCAUGCUGCACAAGUUCAUACAAAUCAAUAAUCGAGCACCCACGUCGCGUCUCUUCCUUGAAAAACAUCUCCAGCUUCCUCAAUUCAUCAAAUGCUCGCAUGUAGAGUUCAUAGUACUUGUGAGGGGAGAGCUUCGAAGUCCGCAGUUCUGAGAGCAUCUGUGCUGAAUACUUCAAAGCGUCUCUGAGAUUGUUCGAGUCCAGAGCGCGAUGCAUGUAGAAGGCGUUCUGUUGAAGUCCGGCAAUUGCUGCCGCCAGCCAUUUCUCUUCGUCUUCCACUCCAUUUGCGAUCAUUCUCUCUCUCUCUCUCUCU